rnacentral:rRNA from 1 species
UCCUGCUGAAGAGGUUUACAACCCGAAGGCCGUCAUCCCUCACGCGGUGUCGCUGCAUCAGGCUUUCGCCCAUUGUGCAAUAUUCCCCACUGCUGCCUCCCGUAGGAGUCUGGGCCGUGUCUCAGUCCCAGUGUGGCCGGUCGCCCUCUCAGGCCGGCUACCCGUCGUCGCCUUGGUGAGCCACUACCUCACCAACAAGCUGAUAGGCCGCGGGCUCAUCCUGCACCGCCGGAGCUUUACACCAUCCACCAUGCGAUGGACAGUCAUAUCCGGUAUUAGACCCCGUUUCCAGGGCUUGUCCCAGAGUGCAGGGCAGAUUGCCCACGUGUUACUCACCCGUUCGCCACUAAUCCCCGCCCGAAAGCGGUUCAUCGUUCGACUUGCAUGUGUUAAGCACGCCGCCAGCGUUCGUCCUGAGCCAGGAACAAACUCUAAGG